GACGAACGCUGGCGGCGUGCUUAACACAUGCAAGUCGAACGAAGUGGAGAACGGGUGAGUAACGCGUAAUCAACCUGCCCUUCAGAGGGGGCCAACAGUUGGAAACGACUGCUCAUACCGCAUACUGAAGGUGGGGAUUUCGUCUGAUUAGCUAGUUGGAGGGGUAACGGCCCACCAAGGCGAUGAUCAGUAGCCUGUCUGAGAGGAUGAACGGCCAAAUUGGGACUGAGACACGGCCCAGACUCCUACGGGAGGCAGCAGUGGGGAAUCUUCCGCAAUGGACGAAAGUCUGACGAAGCAACGCCGCGUGAGGGAUGACGGGCUUCGGGUUGUAAAGCUCUGUUAAUCGGGACGCGGUACCGGAAUAGAAAGCCACGGCUAACUACGUGCCAGCAGCCGCGGUAAUUC
rnacentral:rRNA from 1 species